ensembl:lncRNA
GGAGAAUCAUCAAUUUUGGCAACAAAGAAGCCUGGUGGAUGUUUGUUUACAGUCUGAUGAUGGGACAUCAUGCUCUGCAUCUUCAAAGUUUGCCUCCUCAUUAUUAUUCAUACCCAGUAAUGUGAAGUAUGCUCAUAUCUACUAUAACUGAACCAACCUGGUGCUCUUCAUUUAUGGAGGCUGUUGAGUCUGAAUGUUGGAUGUUGUGUAUCUCGUGUUCUCUGGGCUUUGUUGUCCUCAGUCUUUUCGCAGGAUCAGAAAACAAAACCAGGAGGUGCGUAAAUGUUUCUUCUCCAUGAUGUUUCUCCAAAUGUUUCUUCUGGAUGAUGAUAAGACUGUGACACGGGAUGCCACCUUUGGUCUUGUGAUGAAGCAAAGCUCAGGAAGAAGUGGGAUUAAAUGGUACCCACAUGUGUGCUGCUGAGAAGGAUGUACAGGGGCACCUGCAGCCAAAUCCAAGCCUCAGAGCAGAGCAGCAGUUUGUGCUCACAGAUGGUGACGGUGUGGAGAGACGGUGGUUUUCCUCAGAAGAACCAGCAGAGUCACAAAGGGCACCAGUCCAUCUCACCACCUUAACUUUCUGACUGAUGCUCGUCUGCACUGCACAGAGGAAAUCAGCUGAUCGAGGUUUGUCCAGUGACGUGUUAUGAAAUGUAUAUUUGUUUUAUGCUUACAGAUGUGUUUUUCUUGACAGAGGCUCUGCAGAGGUUAGACAAAGCAGAGAAAACAUGUGCUUUACAUUUUACUGUGAUUUAUUGAGAUAUUUGUUGCCUGAUGUUCAGCAGGAAUGGAGAAAUAGAAUCAAAGGGAGAAGUUUUUGCUGUUUUUGUAAUGAUGUAAGUAAAUCUUCAAUAUUAUUUAUUUGCUUGGUUAUAUUAGGAGUGUUUCUGAGUGAGGGGGGAGGAGUCAUCAUCCAGGUAAAGUGACGUGGAUCAGUGGAUACACGUGUCUCCCCUUUAAAGGAGACGAUCCAAGUCAUCCUUAAAUAUGGGCAGCAUAUCAGUCUUGGACUGUCUAACCUGCAGCACUGAAUGACCACCACACAUGAGCAUGUUCCUGCAACAUUCAGCAUCUGAUCCUUCAUCUGUGUGCUGCUGCUUUUGUGUCACAUGUCAAACAGCUGGAGAGGAAACUACACCAGUGUACUGGGAUGUUUCACCAACACGUGCCAGAUGCUGUUCCUUCAUGGUGACAUCACCAGAGACAGCCCCGCCCACCUCAGGACCUCGCCAUUGAUCAUGAUGAUUAUAAUGAUGACAGCGAGCGGAACUAAGACUGUAAAAAUCCACGACCAGAAUGUUUCUUUCUAAUUAUGAAUGAAUACUGAGAGCCUCUUUCUGUGUUUUGUCUGUUUUGUUUUUUUACCUCAUUUGUUUCUAACAAAGUUCACAAACUCACACAGUUUACAUUCUGUAUGUUUCCAUCUUUACCAGCCACACUAACUGCAUUUAAGAAAAUAAUCCUUAGAAAUCGUCGUUUUUCUCUUUUGUAAUUGAUGAUAAUUCAGUGAAUAUACUGCGCUGCUUCCUUUUAUUGCGUCUCACAUUGCUUUAAGUUUUUCAGUGUCGUUAUUUUUUACUGCUGUUUGAAUUCUCUGUAUGUUUGACCCUGUAGACUGUUUGAUGGACUGCUUGCCUUCCUGUUUGUAACCGCCGCCUGUUUUUUAAUAAAGAUUUGGAUUUCUGACUUCAA